CCCAACUAGCCUAGUAUUUUAACUCAGCUCUAGUAAAACUGAUUUCCGAAUAUUUAUAGCAAAAUGAAGUAUAUAUUCUUUCUAGCUGUUUUAAUAACUGUCGAUCCAGUUUGGGCUUCAAGUAACUUUGAUUUUGGUGAUAUGUUAGCACUCGUUUUGGGAUUGGUGAUCAGUAUUGUUGGUUUCUUUGCUUGCAUGGGAGCUUACGCACGACGAAAACAUUUAGAAUCAUUACAACAUGAGUAACUGUUAUGACUUUUUGUAUUCUAUUGGACUGUGAGCGAGUAUAUGUAAAAAAUAAGUUGGAGUUACUGGUCGACAGCUGUCCGGAAACAGGAUGAAAAAGAUCAAUAUAUUGUACAUAGAUUUACAUUUAUGUUCCUUAUAACGAUUGUUUUAUACUGGUAAUAAUAAAAAUUGUAAUGUUAUUCUGCUAACAAUAAGAAAAACAAAAUGUUUUGUGGUCUAAUGUUCAGUGGCACUAUAACUUCUUAUUUUAUGUUUGCAUUGAUCAAAGUGGUUAUGUAAAAAAUACAUUCAUAUACUUUUGUUUAAGAUAUGCAACUGUUAUAAUGGCUUUCAGUAAAUAAAUAUUUUUAUAAUUA